AUGAACGCCGAGAUUCAGUUCUCAUAUUAAACAAACCCUGGCCGGGCGCGGUGGCUCAGGCCUGUAAUCCCAGCACUGUGGGAGGCCGAGGCGGGCGGAUCACCUGAGGAAGACAGAAUCUAUGAUUCAAAAAAAUGUUGCUAUACAUGUAAGAAUAAUUGCAGAUCUUCCCUUGUAAAUGUGACUGUUAUCUACAGUGGUUGCAAGAAAAGAGUUCAGAUGGCAAAAUGCACAGGGGAAUGUGAAAAGACUGCCAAGUACAAUUAUGAUAUCUUACUCUUGGAACAUUCAUGCCUUUGCUGCCGAGAAGAAAACUAUGAACUCAGAGACAUUGUACUUGACUGUCCUGAUGGCAGUACAAUCCCUUACCAAUACAAGCAUAUCACGACCUGCUCUUGUUUAGACAUAUGCCAACUAUAUACGACCUUCAUGUACAGUUAAUGCUGACAUCACCUUCCCAGUUUUAACAGGCCUGGUAUUUAUUUUAUAAGUGAGGAAAAAUAAUCAUUUAAAAAGUGAGAAUAAACUAAACAAUGUGAGAAUAACUC
rnacentral:lncRNA from 10 species